AAGCAUGAUGUUUGGAUUAAGAAGCCUGGCCUGGGAGAGCCAGGAAGGACAUCUGAAAAGAUGCCUCCUGCGGCCUGGAUGUUUGAUAUGUCUCAACCAUGGGAUGUCACAGUCAAAAGGUGAAUGGGACCUCCGGCCCAGCCCAUGACUAGGCAGAGGUGACCAAGAUGCUGAGGAUACGGGCAUCCCGACCGGCACCUCGAGAGGACAAAGGACAACACCAUUCCCAGUUAGAUCUCAAAGACCACCUCCAUGGAUCAGUUAGAAUUCUGGGAAGGAAAGGCUCUUGUUGGGAGAGCUCUUCUCUCUGAUGGCCUCCAAAGGGUCUUCAUCAAAAAUCAGAGGCUCUCUUUUCCCCUUUCUUUUCUCUAACGAAUAUAAGGGAUGGCCAUCAUAGAAGGGCCUGGGGCAUGGGAGAAGGGAGAAGGCGGGGAUAUAGCCAAAGGGAAGAACUGGGUGAGAAAUGAGAUUGUGUAGCUGUCUUCAAGGAUCUGAAGGGCUAUCAUGUGGAAAAGGAAUCAGACUCAUUCUGCUUAGCCCUAGAGAGCAAAAGGGGCCAUUGUGGUCUGCCAUUGAUGUGUAGAAACAAGAUGGAAGCCUGAUGGCAGCAACAAGUGGAACGGGUAGUCUAGGGAGGGAGCGAGUUCCCUGUCCCUAGAGGUAUCCAGGCAGAGUCCAGGCGGGCACUUGUCCAGAGAGAUUUGAAGAGAGAAUUCCUCUUGUGAAAUGGCCUGGAAGAGAAUCUCUGAGGCACCUUCCAACCGUAGAUAGGAUAGAGGCAGAAAGGAAGAAGUUAACAGAUGGAGGAGAAUGAAUCUGUCUGGAGACAGCAGAGGGGAUGGAAUGAAGGGCCUCAUAGAGGAGCCAUCUAGGAGUAAAAGAGGAGCGAGCCACAGAGAGAAGGGAGAAGAGGGAGCUCUAUUCCCCCCACCCCAGGAACCCCGAAGCGCAGGCAGCUCCAGUCCCUUCUCACAGGCCCCCAGGUCAGCCCAAAGGAGACACGAGGGAGAGGAAGGGAAGGUUAGUAUAGACGUAUUCUUGUUUCUGGUGGGAUCAAGGGGAGGGAAGGCUGGGCUUGGCAGGCAGGAGAUGUCGAGAUUGUUGGCUCCAAUGUCAGGGGUCACCAGCCACACUGGCAGGAAGGGAAGCAGCUCCCGAUUUUUCCUCUUCCAGACUUUCCCAAGGUUUCUCAAGCUGCGUGGAGGGGCUGAGUGGGGGGAGGAUGGGAGUCAGAGGAGGGCAGCUCACUCCCCCAAACGCCCAGUUCUGCCCGGGUCUCAGGGUCCCCCAGAGGAUGGGAGGAGGUUACCUGGCCCCCGUACGGCCCGAGGCGUGCAGGGUCCGCCGGCGUUGCCAAAGUCGGAUGGAGGCCCUGGCCUCAUAGCUGAGGCCCUUCGGGGCUGGCCCAGAGGCCGCUGGCUGGAAGUGGGCUAUGAACUCCACGUCCAGCUGGGUGGCCUCGAUGUGCGGACUCCACAGGAGCUCCUCCGUCAGCGCCGGCAAGAAGUCGUCGGCGCCCAGGGGUUCUGCAGGAGAGGGCUGCUGGGCCAGGGGUUCGCUGGGCCUCCCCCAGCCGCCCCGCACGUAGCCGGGCUGCUCUUACCCUUGCUCCCGCCCUGGCCCAGGCUCUCAUAGACGUCCCGGCAGAUGGCCAGCAGAAGGGCCACCUUGCGGUGAGGAGUCCAGGCGGUGUGCAGGCGAGCCAGGCGGGCAUGGAUGCGAUGCCUGGUCAGGCUGGGGACAGGAGCUUCCAGGGACUGCAGCGCCCCAGCUUCUGGGCCGCCGGCUUCCUGGAGCGCCCUGGCCCGCAUCACCUCCUGACGCCACUGAAGCUGCUGAAGGUGCCGGGCCCUGAGCAACUGAAGUUUGGUCCACAGGAGUGGCUGGAGAGGCCUCAGCACCACCCAGCACAUAGCGGCCUCCACCACGGCUUCUGGGGAGAGCAGGGGAAGGACGGGAUGUCAGACAACGCCCUGUGCUGCUUGGCACACCCUCCACUGACCUUCUCCAUCAUGCCCCUGGGCCAGGCACUCUCUCCCUGUUCCCCCUUCAGAUUCCUCUUAAGUCUCCUCUUCCCCCAUUACCACGUAAGCUUGUCAAAGACAGGGACUGGCCCUGUUUCUACUUAGAUACAUAUGGCUGCUGCUUAGCACAGUGCUGGGUACAUUGCAGUAAGUGCUUAAUAAAUGUUUGUUGACUGACUGACUGACCUCGAGC
ensembl:lncRNA